UGCCUGUCUUCUCUUCUCUUCCUCCCACAGAUGAAACCCUAGUGAAAUCUCUUGAAUCUGUUCAAUCAUCGAACCUUAGUAAGUGUUUUUCAAUCUUCAGUCAUCGAAACCUAAUGAAUCGAUGAAACCCUAGUAAGUGUUUUUGUAAUCUGCUGAUAAAUGUAAAGUUUGUGAGUUAGUUGGAAUCGGAAAUACUGGUACUGAAAUUAGAGAUUGGGUUAGGGGUUUUCUGUAAAUUGAGAAAACCAUGAAGAAAUCGGUAUUUUCGAGAGAGAGAAAGAGAAAGAAGAGAUGGAUUCGAAUGAUGGGUUUGAAUCAGAUCGAGUUAAAUAUAGGGUUUGAUGGGUUUAUCUUAAAACUGAGCACCUGCUGCUGAUGAAGUUGAAUCGAGAAUAUGUGUAUUGUUUUUGCUACCUGUAAUUGAAGUUGAUGAUAGUUUGAAUUAGCCGUUGCUGCUGGUGAUAUUGAUGAUGUGAAAUAGACGGAAUUGAAGUUAGGGUUUUCUUGUAUGAUGAAGAAAUCGAACCAAGAAUGGUUAAUUGCUGGUGGUGAUUUUGAAACUAAAGAAAAAGAAUUAAAAGAUGGGUGUUGAUAUUUGAGUUGAUUGAGAGUCUGCUGGAGAAUUGGUUUGGGUUCAUGUUUGAUUUUCUUGAAGAUAAAAGGGGAUCUGAGAUUACAGAGAUGGAAAUGGUGGCUGCUAUUACGAGAUGGCUGAAUUGCGAUAAUGGAGGAUGUGCUGCAAUUAUGGGUUUGAUGUGUAGUUGCAGUUGGUGUAGCUAGAAUGAUGUUGAUGAUGUUGUUGGAGGUGCAGUAAUGAUAAGAACAAAAGAAUCUGCUGCUGCUUUCGCUAAUGAUACAGAGUAUGGUGAAGAAUUGGUGUGUAGUUAUGAAGAUGCAGCUGAGAUUAUGAGUAAACAAGUCAGGUAAUGGAGAUGUCUAGUUGAGACCAAGCAGCAAGGAGUUGUGGUUGGCUAAGAGUGAUUCAAGAGUUUGCAAAAUGGGUAAAUGGUUGAAGAAAGUGGAUGUAGAUGGAGUUGGAACUGCAGGGUACUAGCCUGAUGCUGUGAAGAAGCUGAGUGCAGCUGUUGCAGGGAGCUUGAACUGAGCUGUAGAGCUGGUUAUUGUAACAGAAGGUGUUGGGUCUGAACUGGUGCUGUCGAUUGCUGCAAAGGGAAGUUGUAUUGCAGCUGUAAUUCAAGUGGGAGUUUUGAUUAUGAGACAUGACGUCAAUCUGAUCGUGAACACGCCUCCUCUAAGUAUGGGACUGUUGACAGAGUUGACAUGAAAUCUGGAUGACAUCUUCCAGUUGAGAAUGGAUCAGCGUUAGGUGAGUAUGCUUGCUAGGGAUUAUAGGGAAAAAAUCAAUAAAAGAAAGAACAAGCCUAUAAUGUUGUCACAGAGAACGAACAGUCCUAUCAUCUUGCCACAUCACAUGCUACCUGGUUUUAGAGAAGGGCUGGAGAAGAUGUCUUAAAGUGAUGCUUCAUCCGCCAUCUUUAUUGAAGAUGAAGAGGACCUAGUGGAAAAGAAAAUAAACAAGGCACAUUGUCCAUAAGGAAUUGUGGAAGGAAAUCCAUGUUUGGAGUACAUAAAGCACUUCAUAUUCCCAUGGUUUCAGGAGUUCGAAGUAGAGCGUUUCGAAGAACAUGGGGGGAAUAAAUCUUCAAAAACAUAGAAGAUCUAAUUACCGACUACCAAAACAAGAAACUGCAUCCUGCUGACCUGAAGCUGGCACUUGCUAAGGCGCUGAAUAGAAUAUUGAAGCUUGUGCGAGAUCACUUCAAUAAUCACCCUGAAGCAAAAGCCGUUUUGGAAAGUGAAGUGGAACGGGAUGGUGUUUAGGAGGAGCCUUUUGGAUCAGAAAGGCUGGAGAACAAAGCAGUCAUAAGGUACAGAAAUCCUGCUCGCCACAUGGUCGAACGAGGUUGCACGAAAUAGACGAAGUGAAUCUUAGACAGAAGAACUUUUAUGAACCCCGAGGGUGAAUGUCAGUGAUAAGUCAAAUCAAGUGUCAGAGUUACUUUUACAAAUAUUAGAUCUGCGAAGUAUGAAUCCACUCUGAAUAAGAGAUCUGCGAAUGAGUGUAGAUAACCAACAAGCGAGAUAAAGGUGAUCGAGCGAGAAAGUAGUUAAUGAAGAAGCAGUGGGACGAAGUAAAUAAUAGUCUUAGACGAAGAUGAAUUGUUGCGCAAGAAGUGGGAAAACUGUACCGACAAGUUACCGAAGUUAUCGGCGAAAAGAAUAGAAUAACUUUAUUGAAAAUGGCUUGGACGAAGUAUAAAACAGAAUCACGUGAAUUGUGUGAUUACCGGCGAAGUAAAAUGAGUUGUACUCCACUACUUUGUUUUUCCUAUAAAUAGAGACCUUGGUUCAUUGUAAAAGGGUGGGAUUUUUGGUAUUUGGAGAGGUCAUGUUGAGAGAAAGUAAAUUAGGGUUCUUGUAAGUUUCAAUACUUGUAAUAUCAUCAUCAUCGUCAUCAUCUCGAUCUAAUAAUAAAGCAGCGUUACUAUUUUGUUCA